AUUGAACGCUGGCGGCAGGCCUAACACAUGCAAGUCGAGCGGAUGAAGGGAGCUUGCUCCUGGAUUCAGCGGCGGACGGGUGAGUAAUGCCUAGGAAUCUGCCUGGUAGUGGGGGAUAACGUCCGGAAACGUGCGCUAAUACCGCAUACGUCCUGAGGGAGAAAGUGGGGGAUCUUCGGACCUCACGCUAUCAGAUGAGCCUAGGUCGGAUUAGCUAGUUGGUGGGGUAAAGGCCUACCAAGGCGACGAUCCGUAACUGGUCUGAGAGGAUGAUCAGUCACACUGGAACUGAGACACGGUCCAGACUCCUACGGGAGGCAGCAGUGGGGAAUAUUGGACAAUGGGCGAAAGCCUGAUCCAGCCAUGCCGCGUGUGUGAAGAAGGUCUUCGGAUUGUAAAGCACUUUAAGUUGGGAGGAAGGGCAGUAAGUUAAUACCUUGCUGUUUUGACGUUACCAACAGAAUAAGCACCGGCUAACUUCGUG
rnacentral:rRNA from 1 species